AUUGAACGCUGGCGGCAGGCCUAACACAUGCAAGUCGAACGAGUGGCGGACGGGUGAGUAAUGUCUGGGAAAUUGCCUGAUGGCGGGGGAUAACUACUGGAAACGGUAGCUAAUACCGCAUACCAUCGGAUGUUCCAAUAUGGGAUUAGCUUGUUGGUGGGGUAAAGGCUCAAAAAGGCGACGAUCCCUAGCUGGUCUGAGAGGAUGACCAGCCACACUGGAACUGAGAUCCGGUCCAGACUCCUACGGGAGGAAGCAGUGGGGAAUAUUGCACAAUGGGCGCAAUCCUGAUGCAGCAAUGCCGCGUGUAUGAAUAAGGCCUUCGGGUUGUAAAGUACUUUCAGCGGGGAGGCGUUACCCGCAGAAUAAGCACCGGCUAACUACGUGCCAGCAGCCGCGGUAAUUC
rnacentral:rRNA from 1 species